ACUGCCGGUGUUAAGCCGGAGGAAGGUGGGGAUGACGUCAAGUCCUCAUGGCCUUUAUGACCAGGGCUACACACGUACUACAAUGGCAGGUACAAAGGGCAGCCACUUAGCGAUAAGGCGCGAAUCCCGUAAAACCUGUCUCAGUCCGGAUUGGAGUCUGCAACUCGACUCCAUGAAGUUGGAAUCGCUAGUAAUCGCAGAUCAGCACGCUGCGGUGAAUACGUUCCCGGGCCUU
rnacentral:rRNA from 1 species